UCUCAUUUUAUAAGCUGUGGUGGUUCUUCC
rnacentral:piRNA from 1 species